UUGGUUAAGUUAGAAAGGGCGCACGGUGGAUGCCUUGGCACUAGGAGCCGAAGAAGGACGGGACUAACACCGAUAUGCUUUGGGGAGCUGUACGUAAGCGUUGAUCCAGAGAUUUCCGAAUGGGGGAACCCACUAUCUUUAGUCGGAUAGUAUCCUUACGUGAAUACAUAGCGUGAGGAAGGCAGACCCAGGGAACUGAAACAUCUAAGUACCUGGAGGAAGAGAAAGAAAAAUCGAUUUCCUGAGUAGCGGCGAGCGAAACGGAAAGAGCCCAAACCAAGAAGCUUGCUUCUUGGGGUUGUAGGACACUCUAUACGGAGUUACAAAAGAAAGUUAUAAAUGAAGCGGUCUGGAAAGGCCCGCCAAAGACGGUAACAGCCCGGUAGUUGAAAUGGCUUUCCCUCCAGAGUGGAUCCUGAGUACGGCGGAACACGUGAAAUUCCGUCGGAAUCCGGGAGGACCAUCUCCCAAGGCUAAAUACUCCCUAGUGACCGAUAGUGAACCAGUACCGUGAGGGAAAGGUGAAAAGCACCCCGGAAGGGGAGUGAAACAGUUCCUGAAACCGUGUGCCUACAAGUAGUUAGAGCCCGUUAAUGGGUGAUAGCGUGCCUUUUGUAGAAUGAACCGGCGAGUUACGAUUUGUUGCAAGGUUAAGCGGAAAAAGCGGAGCCGUAGCGAAAGCGAGUCUGAAUAGGGCGCAUAAGUAACAGGUCGUAGACCCGAAACCAGGUGAUCUACCCAUGUCCAGGAUGAAGGUAAGGUAAUACUUACUGGAGGUCCGAACCCACGCACGUUGAAAAGUGCGGGGAUGAGGUGUGGGUAGCGGAGAAAUUCCAAUCGAACUUGGAGAUAGCUGGUUCUCUCCGAAAUAGCUUUAGGGCUAGCCUCGAGGUAAAGAGUCAUGGAGGUAGAGCACUGUUUGGACUAGGGGCCCUUCUCGGGUUACCGAAUUCAGAUAAACUCCGAAUGCCAUGUACUUAUACUCGGGAGUCAGACUGCGAGUGAUAAGAUCCGUAGUCGAAAGGGAAACAGCCCAGACCACCAGUUAAGGUCCCCAAAUAUAUGUUAAGUGGAAAAGGAUGUGGGGUUGCUUAGACAACCAGGAUGUUGGCUUAGAAGCAGCCACCAUUGAAAGAGUGCGUAA
rnacentral:rRNA from 1 species